rnacentral:tRNA from 1 species
GCCCAGGUGGCGAAAUGGGUAGACGCACCAGAUUUAGGUUCUGGCGCAGCAAUGCGUGGGGGUUCGAGUCCCUUCCUGGGCACCA